rnacentral:rRNA from 1 species
GUCAUAUGCUUGUCUCAAAGAUUAAGCCAUGCAUGUCUCAGUACAAGCCAAAUUAAGGUGAAACCGCGAAAGGCUCAUUAAAUCAGUUAUGGUUCCUUAGAUCGUACCCACAAUUACUUGGAUAACUGUGGUAAUUCUAGAGCUAAUACAUGCAAAUAGAGCUCCGACCGGAGACGGAAGGAGUGCUUUUAUUAGAUCAAAACCAAUCGGUGGCGAGUUCGCUCGUUAUCGUACAACUUGGUGACUCUGAAUAACUUUACGCUGAUCGCACGGUCAUCGCACCGGCGACGCAUCUUUCAAAUGUCUGCCUUAUCAACUGUCGAUGGUAGGUUCUGCGCCUACCAUGGUUGUAACGGGUAACGGGGAAUCAGGGUUCGAUUCCGGAGAGGGAGCCUGAGAAACGGCUACCACAUCCAAGGAAGGCAGCAGGCGCGCAAAUUACCCACUCCCGGCACGGGGAGGUAGUGACGAAAAAUAACGAUACGGGACUCAUCCGAGGCCCCGUAAUCGGAAUGAGUACACUCUAAACCCUUUAACGAGGAUCAAUUGGAGGGCAAGUCUGGUGCCAGCAGCCGCGGUAAUUCCAGCUCCAAUAGCGUAUAUUAAAGUUGUUGCGGUUAAAAAGCUCGUAGUCGAAUUUGUGUCUCGCGCCGCCGGUUCAUCGUCCGCGGUGUUAACUGGCGAGUCGCGAGACGUCCUGCCGGUGGGCUUAGCCCGCGAGGGCGGCCCAACUCAAUCCUGCCGCGGUGCUCUUCAUUGAGUGUCGAGGUGGGCCGGCACGUUUACUUUGAACAAAUUAGAGUGCUUAAAGCAGGCUAAAACUUCGCCUGAAUACUGUGUGCAUGGAAUAAUGGAAUAGGACCUCGGUUCUAUUUUGUUGGUUUUCGGAACCCCGAGGUAAUGAUUAAUAGGAACGGAUGGGGGCAUUCGUAUUGCGACGUUAGAGGUGAAAUUCUUGGAUCGUCGC